rnacentral:misc_RNA from 1 species
UUGUAUGCAUGUGUGAUCACA